UGUGGGGGUGUUCCCGAGCCCAGCGCUGUUAGUUUGGGGUGACGUUUGCUGUCGGAGCUCUUGGUUUUGUUUGAAGCUCCGUUACUGCAUCUGGGACAGCCCUGUCCAGGCCAGGAGUAGCAGCAAAGGAUGAAACCCUGAGGCACCUGCUGGCUGUUCUGCACCACGCUGCGCGAGGAGCUCAGCACGCAGCAGGAGCUGCCACCCCCAGCAAUACCACCACUGCUCCUUGGCUACAAGCGUGCAGGAGGAAGGCUGGGAAGCAAAAAGAGCUGGUGAGGGGCAUGGUGAGAAGGAAACCUGCUGUGCCAGCAAUGCCGUCCCCUCUGCCCCAGCCAGAUGUUUCUGUUGCUUUGUGUGGGUUUGAGUCUGCGCAGCUGGCAGCAGCCAUGGCAGAGCUGGCAUCAGCACUGCGAAGCGGGGGUGCAAAAAGGGAGAAUGACAUUCUUGAUCAGUUAAAGAACGGAUUCAGUGACAUCUUUAAAGAGUGUUCUUGAAGAAGCCAUGCUAAGAAUCACAUUGAAGCUUCAAAACUCCAAACUGACUGCGAAACGAUGACGAAGGUUGCUCAGUGGGCUUCUCCAACCUGCAGUGGUUCCUAUGGGUGUGCAGGAGAUGGCCGCCCAAGGCAGUCACAUGUGGAGUAUCAGCAGUUACACACCACGUUCUGUGCAAAUGUGAUGAUAAUAAAUUGGCUCCAGGAA